rnacentral:tRNA from 5 species
GCAGAUGUGGCGAAACGGUAGACGCGCAGGCCUCAGAAGCUUGUGGAGUAAAAUCCUUGGAGGUCCAACUCCUCCCAUCUGCA